ACGUGUAAAAUUAUAUUUAAAACUUGAAAACCGAUAAAAUUAGUCAAACCUGGUCAAACUUGUAUAAAAUCAGGUCAACCCAUAAAAAACAUAAAAACCGGUCUGAUCUCACGAUUUCACUUGAAAUUUAAAACUUAUGCCUGUUAGCACCUUUCAUCCCUUUCCCUUCCUCUUUCCCCAUCAAAUUGAGAAAUUACUUUCCCUAGAUUCGAAGCAUUCUUGGCGAGACGAAGGUAAGAAUUUAUUCCCAAUCCCAAGCUUUCUUGGCGACUCUAUCCUCUUAUUGCUGAAGUUCAUCUUAUUGUUGGGAAAAAGCAAAGUGAAGCAAAGAAGGGUUUGAAUUGGGAUUGUGCAAGUUGAGUAAGAAAGCCAGUACUACAAUGUUGGAGCCAAAGGCUAUGGUUCUUCGUCUUCCAAGAACUAGGCUCUUAUUAUCUAAAGAAGAGACGAUUAUCAUUUAGAGUAGAGAGAGAGCUAGGAAAGCAUGAAUUGAACUCAACACCACUACGGUCUUGAACUCCAUCAACUCAAAGCUCAAGAUCGACUCAGAUAUGCCUGUCUCUUACAAGGCUUUGAUGGUGGUGUUGUCGACUUCUCUGUCCAAGGUUCCUCCGAUCCUUACCUCGUCGGGUCACAGGAACUUCAGAGACCUUGUAAUAUAUCUGUCUUGGUUCUUUUCAGUUUUGUGUGUUGUUCCACAUUCUCUUUAGGAUGGAAUUUGAUAACUAGUAAUUUUUUAGUACUUGAUGAUUAUACGCCUUGAUAUUCUUUGAUUCUUGUCUUUUUUCUUUUGCUUAGACUUUAUUUUACAAAAGUGAAAUUAGGCUCUCCUCUUAAAGAAUUCAACGUGCAGAUUAAUACUGGAAGUGGUCUUGUGGGUCUACUGCAAUUCCUGCAACAACUGCCCACGUAGUGGCCUUGAAGUAAACUCUCUUUCCUUGCCUUGUCAUUAGUCUUUCUAUACAUUUGUAGAAUUGGAAAACUUAAAACUAAGGUUCAACUUCCUGUGGUAUGAUGUUUGUGUUUUGCAGAUUCAGCUCAAUUUCCUUGAUUCCGACAGCUCAUCAACUACUGGGCAGGUCCGUUGUUCAGACCCAAUUUGCACUUCAGCAGUUCAAACCACAGCAACCCAAUGCUCUUCUCAAACUGAUCAGUGUAGUUAUACAUUCCAAUAUCGAGAUGAAAGGGGGACAUCAUGCUAUUAUGUCUCUUAUACACUUUAUUUUGAUGUUAUUUUAGGGCAAUCACUGAUCACCAACUCCUCAACUCUCAUGGUCUUUGGGUAGGUUUUCUAAUGCUAUUGAACAAGAAUGUGGCGUGUUCUGUUUUUUGAUUAACAAUGAUUAUGUUUUUUAAAGAGAAGAGAUAAGUGGAAUUAAAGAGAACUGCUACUAGGUCUAUAAUGUUUUUUCCUUUUCUGUUAAUC